GGCCUUCUGUACCUGUGCUGAGAUUUCGCCACACACCAGACCACAAGGGCUGGUGAGACUUACAUGAUAAGUGAAGCG
rfam:Schistosoma curassoni strain Dakar, Senegal genome assembly, scaffold: SCTD_scaffold0012539